ACUCCUGCGGGAGGCAGCAGUGGGGAAUAUUGGACAAUGGGCGCAAGCCUGAUCCAGCCAUGCCGCGUGAGUGAUGAAGGCCCUAGGGUUGUAAAGCUCUUUCACCGGUGAAGAUAAUGACGGUAACCGGAGAAGAAGCCCCGGCUAACUUCGUGCCAGCAGCCGCGGUAAUACGAAGGGGGCUAGCGUUGUUCGGAUUUACUGGGCGUAAAGCGCACGUAGGCGGACUAUUAAGUCAGGGGUGGAAUCCCGGGGCUCAACCCCGGAACUGCCUUUGAUACUGGUAGUCUUGAGUUCGAGAGAGGUGAGUGGAAUUCCGAGUGUAGAGGUGAAAUUCGUAGAUAUUCGGAGGAACACCAGUGGCGAAGGCGGCUCACUGGCUCGAUACUGACGCUGAGGUGCGAAAGCGUGGGGAGCAAACAGGAUUAGAAACCCGGGUAGUCCCA
rnacentral:rRNA from 1 species